AUUUUGGUGGACCCAUCUUCACAGAGGACGAGGGGCAGUGUGGACUGUGUGUCAGUUGUCAGUCCAUUACGGGAGUUGGCUGUGCAAUCAGCACAUUCUCCCCAUGAAUCAGGAAACCCCAAGGGGAAUCCUGGCGUUUGUCAUCUGGAGAGUCACGAGAGUUCUCUGGCCAAGAAUUCUGAAUGCCAUAGAAGAACCAUGAGCCCUGAGGCAAGUGGAAACUGACAUUUCUGUAAAUGCUUUCUCCUACACAGUUAAUGCUACUUUAUGCACAAAACAGUGACAUGCAAAUUUCCUGCAGAGUAAAUCCCAAAGUGCUAAAAAUUCUGAUCAGACCAGGAUUCUUCUCAUCAUGGUUUCUAAACAAACAAAAAUAUGUUUUCCAAUCAAUUUUCAAAUAUUUUUGGAUAUUCCUUCCAUCCGUAUUGAUAAAGCUAAAUACAGCUGAGCUUACUACUUAUAAUAUUGAAUAAUGGCACCAUUCAAAAAGGUAAGUGGAGAGAGAAAAUGUUUCAACACAAACAAAAAUAAAACGUUCACAAAAAGUCAGAUGCUGUAUUUAGCUGAUGCUUGCUAAAAGGACUUUAUUACAAGAUUAAUGGCAUAUGUGCAUUAGUAAGGAAUUGCCUUUUUACUUAUCUAACAGAUCCCUCCUAAUACAAGGCAAACAUUUAAACACUGGCUUUUUCUAUUUUACUUCUCAGUUGCUACGUCAGUUUGUUGUGAACCUUGUGACUACAACUGUAAAAAAACAAUAACAACCAAGUGUGUUGUCAUCACAUAUACCCACAGCAGCUGCCAGCUAUCAACAGGGAAACCACAAAGAAAGAAAAGAAAAUAGGAUAGUUCUACCUCACAGUAGGGGAGCAGAAAACAUCCAUCAUUCAGGAGUGACAUGCAUGCCUCAGCAGGUUUUACCACAAUUUUUCCUCCUGUUCCUGUUUUUACUGCACUGCAUGACUGAAAGGACAGAAGAAUUAGUUCCACAAAUAGCUGACAACAGCAACAUAUUCCUAAGGGAACCUACCCUUCACACAUUUACUCAGAUCUAAUUGCAGCCCCUUUCUGCUAGCAGUAGUAGCACUCAUACAGGUAGAGUUCCCCUUAUCCGAAAUGCUUUGGACAAAGUAUUUUGGAUUUCUCCAUUUUUCAGAUUUUGGAAUGUUUCUAUAUACAUAAUGAGAUAUGUUGGAGCUGGGACUCAAGUCCAAACAUGAUAUUCACUUAUAUUUUGCAUGCACCUUAUACACAUAGCCUGGAGGGAAUUUUAUACACAAUGUUUUUUAAUAAUUUUUUGCAUGAAACAAGUUUGUGUACACUAAAUUAUCAGAAAGCAAUGAUGUCAUUAUUUCAACCACCUAAGUGGACAAUUUGGAUUUUGCUUUGUAAACAUGUUGUUGUACUAUUUCAGUUUCUUUUAGAAGUUAUUUUCCCUGUCUUUCCACAUGCUUAAAAUAUAUUCUUAAGGAUGUUAAUAAUAUAUAUUAUAUAUAGGUAUAGAUAGUAUAUCAAUACAUGCAUGCAUAUACAUAUGUAAACACAUCUCUCCUAAUGCAGACCAAAAUAAAAAAAAAUCUACUGCAACAACACAAUGUAUAGAGUAUUCAGAGCUUGUCAAAUAAUUUAGUAUGAGAAAGAAAAUCUGAACACCACCUCUUGUACUGGAUACAUUAGUGUCUGCCUAUGACAGAAGUCCAAUGCCUCAGUUUACAAGCAAAUUUGAGUGUUCAUGUUGACUCUCUUCAAAAAUAUAGAUUUUGCCCAAAUUUCAGACAAAAUGCUGCCCCACAUGUGUAUGUAGGGACAGCUAGAGCAAUGUUGUUUCUAGUUACUAGACUACCAGAAAAAGGCUAUACCAGAAAAAUGCUAUUGCAUAAAAAGGUGUACCAAUGCUGAAACAUGUCCUGAUUUCUACAAACGUAAAAGAGAAACAAAGAAACCUUUUAAAAUCACUUGUCUCACUCGUUCCACAGUAGCAUUAGACAUAAAUCUUUAUUAUGCUUCCUGGAUGAAUACAAAUUAAUCAUCAUGUCAAAAAUGCUAUUGGCAGCCUUCCUAGUUUACUAAAUAGGACUGGCAGCCUUAAUUGCUUUAUUUCCAAAACACCUGGGCAUGAGAAGCAAGAUAUUCUCCGAAGGUGUGUUUGCACCAUCCAGUUCAUUUCAGGGAAGAGGAGGAGGAACAGCAGCAGCAAGAUAUUCCUCUGUGUUGCUCCUCCUUAUGGAAUGUUCUGAAGAUACUUUGUAUGUGAUUCAUGCCCACAAAGAACAGAAAAAUUAUUUGUGUGUGAGUUCUGCAAGCUGGGUUGCCCAUUGAGUUGCUGUAAAGAUUCCAAUUUGUUGCUGAAAAUGAAGUUCUUUGCAGUCAUGUAUCACCCACAGUCCUUGAAAGCAUACUGAUUUUAUAUUCUUCACAGUAUCUGGUUGUCAUUGUAACAUCACAUCAAGAGAAAGUUAGGAUGCCAUCCUAUAUCCCAUCAAUGAAUCCAUCCAUAACUCUGCUUGGGAUCUAGUGCAGUGGACACUCCUGGACUUGAACAGCGGGGGAAGUCUCAGCUCAACAUAGUCCCCUGCUCAGUCUCCAAGCUAUCCAUGCAAUUCACCCCUGAAAAUGUUGGUGUGGGGAUGCAGGAAUGCUUGCUUCUCAUCCAAUGUUAAGUCCACAUUUAGGAGUUUUGGAUUACCUGUGGAGGGAUGGGGGUUUCCACAAAGGAGAAUCAAUAUAUUCACUACUGUUUUAUUUUUAAUAGGGUAGCUAUGUUAGCCUGAUGCAACGAAACCAAGAAAGAGUUCUGUGGCACUAUAAGACUCAAUUAUGGCAACCCCACGGGUGAGACACCUCCAAGACCCCCUGACCUCUAUCACUCUACCACUCUGCUCCGAAUGGCCUCUGCCUACAUGGAUACCCCUCUGUAUCAUCUUACCUGAGAACAGCUAUAAAAACUUCUUGACAAAAUAUAUACCUGUGACUCCAUCAUCAUCGUUUUUUCUUUCACCUGUUUGAUUUUUAUUACCUUUACCUGAUGAAGAAGCCAGUGGAGCUUUGAAAGUUUGCAUAAUAUAUUUUGUGCAUUUUUGUUGGCUUGAUAAAAGUAUCAGUGUUUUGUGGAUUUGGGAUGUUAUUAUACUAUGCUGUAUGGCCAACACAACUACUGCUGGAUAUGAUUUGCAGAGCUGAGACAAGUAGCCAGAAGAAGGACCUGAAUAAGAUUUGGGGGGGGGGGGCUAUGAAUGAUUAAAUAGUUCAGGGACGAAGGUGCUAUCUAAGUGUUUUAAUAAACUUAUAGUUGUUUGACAUUUCAAAUGGAAGGAGAUUUAGUAAAAGAAAAUAGGAUAAAAUGGGCAAAGGAUUGUAAAAAAGUAUUGGAAUUAAGACAAUGGGAAAUAUCAUGGGGAAAAGAAUGAAAUAUACAGUUAGUCAGGACAUUAAGGAAAAUUUGGUAAAGAUCAUGUACAGAUGGCACCACUCUCCUGAAAAAUUAUGUAGAAUCUAUGGAAAGGGACAAAACUUAUGCUGGAAGUGUGAAAGGGAAAGGGGUACCUUUUUUGACCUAUGGUGGGAAUGUGUUUAAGCUGAAAAAUUUUGGAGAAUGAUAGCGAAAGGAAUCAAAGAUAUACUAGAUGUGGAUUUAAAAUUUAGACCACAAAUCUUGUUAUUAAAUAUGCUGGAGGAUAAGAUAGAAAAGAGCUAUGGGAAAAUAAUUUUCUAUAUGUUGACUGCUGCUAGGUUAACAUACGCAAAAUAUUGGAAAUUAAAGAAAGUUAUUGAGAUAGUGGAGUGGAUUAUCAAACUGAUGGAAUUGAUGGAAAUAGACAUAAUUUCUGAAAGAUUAAGAGAAAAUACAAAAACGAUUUCAGAAAUAGAGGAGAAGAAAAAGCAGGAUAAGAAGAACUGGGAAAAAAUGUACAAUUAUAUAAAGGAGAAAUGGCCAAACAUACAAAAUAAAAUCUAACACGGUACUUAUGAAUGUAAGUAAGCUUAGAUUAGAAGGAAUUGACUAGCUAAAGAACUUUACACUGUAAAAAAUUAGAAUAAGAUAGUAAGAAGGGUAAUGGGUGAAGUCAUAGAAAAAAAUUAAAAUGAACAUCUGUAAACAGAUACACACAGAUAAGCAGUUAGAAAAUAUAAUGAAACAGUAAGGGUUUUGACCAAGGAAGUCUUGUCAAUGUCUGUCAAAGUCUUAGGAAGAAUGAAGCAGAGAGAGUGAAAGGUAUUUAUGUUGGGUUGGGGGAGGAGGGAAGGAUGGUGGAUGACUGUGUAUUUUGAUAAGAUGCUUCUGUUAUAUGUUAUAUAUGUUAUAUGUUUUAUGUUAUGUGGUUUAGGU